UACGGGGGGGGCAAGCGUUGUUCGGAAUUACUGGGCGUAAAGGGCUCGUAGGCGGCCAACUAAGUCAAACGUGAAAUCCCUCGGCUUAACCGGGGAACUGCGUCUGAUACUGGAUGGCUUGAGUUUGGGAGAGGGAUGCGGAAUUCCAGGUGUAGCGGUGAAAUGCGUAGAUAUCUGGAGGAACACCGGUGGCGAAGGCGGCAUCCUGGACCGGCAUUGACGCUGAGGCGCGAAAGCUAGGGGAGCAAACGGG
rnacentral:rRNA from 1 species